GUGGAAACUGGAGGAGGCAUUAAAACAGCUAGAGAUGCUUCAGUCACAGCACAACUGCCUCCAAUACAAGCAGCACUUGUUUAUCUGGAAGAGAUGACUCACCCUGAGCUACCGCUAGCUACAGGAAACCUUUGCGAAUGAGUCACCACCUUUAUUCUAUACUAUCGAUGAUGGUCUGACAAGACUAAAAGACUGAACGAUGAAAGAUGAACCCUACACAGCAGAGUUGGACGCCCACUUCCUCCCAGUUGUCAAAGUCUGAGGGCUGGAAAUCCUGUAACAGCCAACGAAAAGAAUGCGAAGGACACGGUGGAGAAGGCGCUGAACUCAAGAGGUGGGCGACGUCAAAAGUUCUUUACAACAGCAGAACUUUGGCACGAGAAAGGCGUCACAGAGAAACAAAAGUCAACAAGAUGAUUCUCAAUUUGAAAAUGAAAGUGGUUUUUAUACAUCAGUCUAAAGUCAGCUUGCUUUGAGAUGCCCAGAUUGAAGCCACUGAGGGGAGAGACAUAUGGGGUCACACACAUGGAGGAAAGACAAAAGGGUAUUGACAUCAACAGAAAAACUACAUAGGGUGUUACUGUCACGAUAUUUUCCCUCCGUCAAAGGGUGUGUGUACAUUUUGUAAAGUCCGUGUUCAUUCAUACUUUGUCCCAGGCCUGCUUCAAACUAACAUGAAUCGUCCUCUAAUCCAGUCUUUCCUUAGAAGUGAAGUCACAGUGAGGUGACACUGCUCAGGCAACUAUAUUUCCACAGGAAACAUCUGUCUACGUAAGCAAGUGGGUUCAAUAGGAAUCCUGUUUUGACGGCCAACCUCAGCCGGCGCUGAAGGUGGCGAUGUUUUUCACCCGUUUCUCCCCCCCGUGUGGUUUAUACUUAGGGGUAUUAUUGUUUUUUUUUUUUUUUUUGUCAGGGUGCGUUCAGAGUUUAUGCCAUGGUUUCCUUCCCCGGGAGUCUCCUGUCGUUGAACGUGUGCAUGUUAAUGACCUCCUCUGUCUUCACGAUGGCGGGCGGCUGCGGCUUCUGUUUGAGACGGCGUUGGCACUUCAGGGACACUCGCAGCUCGUCCAUCAUGGCGCUGCAGAACGAUCGCUGUAGCGGGGAAGAAGGGAAAGUUAUGAUGGAUGCCUUCCAACGUGCUGUUCAGGAAUAUGCCAUUAUUAUUAAACACCGGAGUGACAGCGACACAAAGCCACAUAAAUUAUUGCGUAUAAUAAACAGUAGGUGGCGAGCAUGUCUUCUUAAAUCAAUGGCGGGGCCAUUAAUUUUCCGGAGGGAGCCACAUUAGCAGGAGCGCUCGGACUCUUUCGUCGGGAUACGAUUGUUAAAAAAUGCUUCAUGUUUUCCGAAUCGCUCCUCGUGGCAUUUUUUUUUCUCUGUGAGCUGGAUAGAUUGAUAAAGUCAAAUGGGUAGCAUCACAGCAAGAAGGUCGUGGGUUCAAAUCCAGCUCGAGGCUAGGAUUCGCUGAAUCUUCAGAAUUGCUGGAGAGGAAGCAGAGUUUUUAAAUGUUACGCAUCUGAGAGAUAUCCACGAGCGAUGACUCUCAAUCAAGAGCGAGAUUAACCCUUCCCUGCAGUACAAAGAGGCCACGAGGUCCCUCGGUGUAUGAGAAGUUUCACCUCCUGAGCACCCCAAAGAGACGGCUUUAUACUUCUAUCAUAUCUCUCCCUCUUCUACUACCAUGAAGGACGGUGAUUGAGCAAGCGCAUGUCAGAAUCUUCACUCCGGAAGCUCAAACUGCUCACAAAACAAAAAUAUCACUCACAGAACGAGACAUGGCGCUCAAUAUCUCAGUCCCCAGCAUGUGUACCAGGGUUAGAAUACACUUUUGGUGACACU